GCUCACGGCCACAGCAGCCUAAAAUGGCCCGAUCUCGUCCGAUGUCAGAAGAUAAGAAGGCGAGGGCCUGGUUAGUACUGGGAUGGGAGACUGCCUAGGAAUACCAGGUGCUGUAAGCU
ensembl:rRNA 5S_rRNA 5S ribosomal RNA